rnacentral:rRNA from 1 species
UACGUAGGGUGCGAGCGUUAAUCGGAAUUACUGGGCGUAAAGCGCGUGUAGGCGGCCCUGCAAGUCGGAUGUGAAAUCCCACGGCUCAACCGUGGAAGUGCAUUCGAAACUGCAGGGCUAGAGUCCUGGAGAGGAAGGUGGAAUGCUUGGUGUAGAGGUGAAAUUCGUAGAUAUCAAGCGGAACACCGGUGGCGAAGGCGGCCUUCUGGACAGUGACUGACGCUGAGACGACGAAAGCGUGGGAGCAAACAGG